UACGAAGGGGGCGAGCGUUGUUCGGAUUUACUGGGCGUAAAGGGCGCGCAGGCGGCUUUGUUUGUCAGGCGUGAAAGCCCCGGGCUUAACCUGGGAACUGCGUUUGAUACGGCAGGGCUAGAGUUCGGGAGAGGAGAGUGGAAUUCCCAGUGUAGAGGUGAAAUUCGUAGAUAUUGGGAAGAACACCGGUGGCGAAGGCGGCUCUCUGGCCCGAUACUGACGCUGAGGCACGAAAGCGUGGGGAGCAAACAGG
rnacentral:rRNA from 1 species